GCUGCCGCAAGCUGGGUGACAUGCGCAGUCCGGUCACAAAACAUCACCACGGCAACCAUCUUUCACAGCAAGUCCCCGGCAGCAUCAGUAGCGUGCGAUCACCUCCACUUGGCCACAGAGCAGAGACAUCCGCACAGUGCAGUCAUGGUGAAGCUGGGCACGAGUCUGUCUGAUAAAAUGGAGAAGCAGCCGUCUGCAGAUGAUGGCUUUGAUAACAUCCCCCUCAUCACACCCCUGGAGGUCAGCCAGCUGCAGCGGUCUUUUGCAGACAAGGUUAUUGUGAAGACGUCCACUCAUUACCAGUUGCAGAAGAAGAAGUUGUUUAUGCCCAGCAUUGAGAAGCUAAACAUCAACUUGUACAAAGAUGUCUCUGACAGAGCCAAGAUCACAGGUCUAAUUCUCAUCAUGUUGGCCUUCCUAACCAGCCUCUUCCUCCUGCUCAUGUACAAAGCCAUGUGGUACAACCGUCUUACCUGCCCAGAGGGUUUCAUCCUUCAGCAAAGGCACUGCACUCCAGCCGCUCUGGAGCCGUUCUCCAGCGAGCAGCAGAAUCCCGCAGACAUCCCAGGCAGCGCUAACUCUGGGCUGUAUGCAGCCCUCAGCCGCUUCAACCAGGUCAAGAGGACAGCGCCUGAGAUGCCAUCGCCGUGGUUGCCGGUCAUCAGAGUUCUGAAGGAGACUGACGCCGCUAAACAUGACAGCCAGCCAGUCAAAGGUCGCGGGGUGUUGGAGCCUAUCCCAGCUGACUUCAGGCGAAAGGCGGACUACACCCUGAAGUGGCACAAGGCGGCACGGUGGGCGACUUUGUUAGUAGAUCUGCCUCACAGCUCUCAGGACCUGGGUUCAAAUCCGGCCUCGCCUGCGUGGAGUUUGCAUGUUCUCUUCGUGCCUGCGUGGGUUUUCUCCGGGUACUCCGAUUUCCUCCCACAUCCCCAAAACAUGCAUGGUCUGGGUGUACCCUGCAUCUUGCCCGAAGAGAGCUGGAAUAGACUCCAGCACACCCGUGACCCUAGUGAGGAGAAGUGGUACGGAAAAUGGAUGGAUGGAUAAUACUUUUCCCCACAGCUCUGCUCUCAGUCCACAAUGCGUGCUCUGAAAUAUGGAGCCGCGUGAUGACAGGCCGAUCGGCGAUGGACAAUGUGCUGUAAUUUGUGAGGGGCCAGGUCGUGAGAAGAAUGAUGGGUAAUUAAGAAGAAGACAUUGAGAGACACCAUGGGGGCCACUGGAUUUUUAACCACAUUUCUACUGGGACCUAAAACUGCACGUGGGACCUAAUCCUUAAGAUUGGUGAGCGGCAGAUAGAGACUGAGAGCUGAGGAAGAGGAGGAGGGAAACCUUCUUUGAUCUUGCGGCUCGUCCGCCAUGCUGUUUCCUUUCAAGGUUUCCUGUCACGCAUGAGGGAAUUUCUCUCUAACGCUCCCUCGCUGCUCUUGGAAACCAUUUGUCUGCCGUGCGAGACAGAAAGUGGCCGAUGGAUUCCAGAGGUUGAGGUAGCUCCAGCCCAUCUGCGUGCACUCUACGGAAGCACAAAAACAACCGUAAACCUCGCACGCCCUUCACUACCUCUCAGCUGCUCGCCCUGGAGCGCAAGUUCCGCCAGAAGCAGUACCUCUCCAUAGCCGAGAGAGC